rnacentral:rRNA from 1 species
AGAAUCAACGCUGGCGGCGUGCCUCAGACAUGCAAGUCGAACGAGAACCUCCCUUCGGGGAGGGGACAGUGGCGCACGGGUGAGUAACACGUGGGUAAUUUACCUUUGGGUGGGAACAACAGCCGGAAACGGCUGCUAAUACCGCAUAAUGCAGCGGCUCGACAUCGAGACAGUUGUUAAAGCGGGGAUCGCAAGACCUCGCGCCUAAAGAGAAGCCCGCGGCAGAUUAGCUAGUUGGUAGGGUAAUGGCCUACCAAGGCGACGAUCU